rnacentral:rRNA from 1 species
GACGAACGCUGGCGGCGUGCCUAAUACAUGCAAGUAGAACGCAGUUGCGAACGGGUGAGUAACGCGUAGGUAACUGCCUCAUAGCGGGGGAUCACUAUUUGCAACGAUAACUAAUACCUCCUACUGUUAAAUGGACCUGCUUUGUAUUAGCUAGUUUGUGAGGUAAAGGCUCACCAAGGCGACGAUACCUAUCCGACCUGAGAGGGGGAGCGGCCACACUGGGACUGAGGCACGGCCCAGACGCCUACGGGAGGCAGCAGUAGGGAAGCUUCGGCAAUGGAAGGAAGUCUGACCGAGCAACGCCGCGUGAGUGAAGAAGGUUUUCGGAUCGUAAAGCUCUGUUGUUAGAGAAGCGGUAACGAACAAGAAAGGGACGGCUAACUACGUGCCAGCAGCCGCGGUAAUAC